GAAUCAGCUGUUACCGCCAACGUUAACACUCUCUUUCCGUUUGUGAAAUGAUGCUCUUACUUUCCUUUUUAUCGUUUCCAUUGUCAUAAAUACAUAAUAAGUGUGUUACGUUGUUUGUGUGUAAAUCGAAUCGUUGGAUUAAGAUGGAUGUCAUCUUGAAGAAUCUUUACUUGUCUUUUGCUAACGCUGCUGGGAUGAUAAUAUUGGAAAACAUAGAACCAGUGGACUCGUGAUUUGAAAUGGAGGACUAAGAAAAUGUAUAUCGUCAAUGGAACUUCAGAGGUGCGGUUUAGAGAAUCGUAGGACUCAAAUAAAUUACCAACUACGGUUGAAACAACGUUUUUACAGGAAUGAGAAUAAUCGAACAAAGAGCAGAGAGAAUACUGAUCGCGCGAAAAGGGAUAAUGUUGAGAAUAUAAAAUUAUAUAGGAUCGUAAUACUGUUGAAUUGGUUAGUUUAAUCUAUCUGUACCCUUACUUUUUCGAUAAUGCGCAAGACAAAAUUAUUCUAAGGGGUUUAGAGCAUACGUUACUCGCCCGAGUACCUUACAAAAAACUUUAGUACCUGUUCUGGUGGUUUCUUUCUGUUUUUGCGCAUUUAUCUCCGGUUUACCGAUACACGUCUGAGGAUAUUAUGAAAUAGACACACACAAAUUACUACAAAAUCACACGUUACAUCCACACUUAAUUAGAAUGAAAGAGAGCGAGAGAGAAACGACGAAAACAUCGGGUCGGAAUUUUCUUUUGCAUUCGAAGAAAAUGAGAACUUGAUAAAACCUCCGUAUUCACAGACUGCACUUGUUCGCAAAUAAAAAACUAAUAAGAAAGAGAGAAACUCUGUGUUGAACAAAAUAAAAAUGUACUUUUUGGCAUUGUAUAUAACCGUAAUAUGAUGUUUUACACGUAUACUUUGAAUAUUUUAUUUUAUUUUUUCUUCUUUUUUUUUUUUUUGCUUUUUAAUCUCAGAAGAACAAAAAUGUGCUAAAAAAUUUCGUGCUUUUUCUUAACUUAACGGAUCGUUACGACUGACUCUUAUUAUGCAACUCUCUUUUCCUCCUUUCUUUACAUUUCCAACUAGCAGGUUCUUAGAAAGUGAAACCCUGAGAACAUGGAGGUUUAAGUGAACCUUAAGACUUCGUGAUAGUAUGUGCGUAUUAUGUACAUCGUAUGAAUACUUUAAGAUAAUCUUUUUAAUAAAUAUAAUAGAUAAUAUAAAAGGGCACUGUGAACUAAUUACAAACGUUAGAGAAAUAUAAUAUAAUAUAAUAUAAUAAUAGCAGUAGUAGUGGUAAUAAUAGUAAUAAUAGUAAUAGUAAUAGUAAUAAUAAUUAUUAUAAUAAUUAGUAAUAAUAAAUAUGAUUGUAUCGAUAACAUGCCCUUUUUAAGGUAACCCAAGAAUAGGAGGAACGUGUAUACAUUAAAAUUGUUCGAAACUUAUUUAAGUCUGACUAAGCAUUUAGUACAACAGCAUUUUUUCCGUUUAUAUAAAAUUCGAAGAUAUUCCUAACAAACGGUUCACUAUCGAUAGAUCUGAGACGACGUAUCGGUCGAAGUGACCCUACUAAAUUUUGCGCAUAAUAUACAGACUGUACAGAAAAUACACGCAUUGGGUUCUGGGCAAAGAAUUUUCUCGGCAAAAAAAGAUUCUCGUUCCAAUGAGUUCAUUGGCAUCGUCUAGUGCGUAAUGGCAAAUCAAAUCGUAUAAAUUACAAGAUAAGUCGAACGGUAAAUCUAGAUUCUAGAUCAUGAAAUUUAAAUAAAACGCAAAACUCAUAGUUAAACGUUACGCUAACAUGGCAGCGUUCUUAUAAACAAAAACAAUUAUAAAUCGUAUAUCGAGAGCGAUCUAAACGGCUAUCACAUAUUAUAUUCCGCGAUGUAACAACAAAUUCACCAUGUCUCCGUUAAAAUUCGUAUCAUACAUUAAAUUUAAGACGCAAGAAAAAUUCAUUGUAAUAUCAAUUGCCUUUGUAACAACAAUUUAGUAUUACGAUUUUCUUGCAACUAUUAUAAUAUACAUUUAACAAAUAGACGGUUAGACAGAGUGUUAGCUAUAAAUUGGACAUCGAUCGACAUCGACAUUCAGGAUUUUUAAAUCGUUUUAAUAAGAAAUUCUCAGAUAAAACAUCUAUGCAAACACGGUCCCCAAACAGAAUUUCUACUAUUAUUCUUGUUUUGAUAUAAGCGCGCUUCAUUUCACAACGCACCUUUAAAAAACCUCUCAAUGUUGCUUUUAACAAGUAAAUGCUAAAAAAUUCGUAUUAAAAAGCGUUUGCAUCUACAACAGCGCUUUUGGACACGCCCUCAAAUUAUAUCAACAUUCGCAUACUUUCUUCGUGUAAAUACAUUUCGUUUUCCGGCCGAUAAGAUUACGUUGUUGAUAAAGCUAUGGCGAAAUGAAAGUUAAUGCAACCGUGUUGAUCUAUUGAUUCUCCGAUUAGUGAAAUCAAAAAUGUAUAUAUCUUACGACACUUCGACAAUAUCAACCUAAAUACUUAAUGGUUCGAAACAAGUGGUCGAUUCUCUAAAAAUUUCAAUUGUAAAUCACACUGUUCUCUUUCUCUUAUUCUCGUAUUAUACACGAAGGCUUUCGUGGAAGAGCGCGUUUUGAAUUUGCUUGAUAUCUUUGCACUAUAAUCUUUAAAAAAUCCUACCGUUGCUAAAACGAAGCACGUUUGAUUCUCGAGGUAAACUAGUUGUUCAUUCGCCCCUUUUAAAGGUUCAACUUCGUACGACUUUCCUAAAUUUUUUCAACGUUUCAUCGAAUUGGAAGUAUUUUUAAUCUAUGCAAUGAUCCCUGUUUAACAAUCCCUGUAAGAGAAUCUUUUUAGAAAGUGUCAGCCAACUAUAUCCAGACGCGAUUCAAUUGUAAUUGUUCUGAGACGGUGUAGGAGAUAAUCUUUGGUUACCCAAAAAUGCCUAUUAAAUACGAUCGUCGAUUACUUAGUUCCUGUAUGACGGAAGCCGUUGUAACACGUUAUAAUAUAUUUGUAGGUCUUUAAAUCUUACAUAUCAGUGACCGAUCGGCCGUUUAAAUUAUAUCGUCCAUAGUUUUGUGAUUUUUCGCAACAUUCAUAUCUUUUUUUUUUUUUAAGUUUCAUUAUACUUAGGUCUUCUUCCUUAAUAAAUCAGUUUUACAACUUUAACCCUCUCAUAUAAAGAUU